rnacentral:lncRNA from 1 species
CGGAAAACGAAAAACGGAAAACGACUCGUUAACUGAUAUUAGAUACUGUGUUCAUGAAUGGGAAUCGGGGAUGAAAUAACAGUGCCAUUUUUCAUUCCAGAUUUUGCCGUACGUCUAUUUUAAUGACCGGAAGACGCCGUGUUAUGCCGCGAAAACACUUGAUCUAAUCCGUAGACUGAUUCGACAUGUCUUUAUCUGAAUAUUCAGAGUUUAUUACAGCCAGGAGAUCAAGUGGGAUGUCUUGUGGCGAUAUAGCCGCAGCACUGACUGACCACUUUGGUCUUCUGCGAGGCUUUUCCGAGAGGAAUGUGUGAGGAAUGCGACUGGAAGGCGAAGUUGCGAAAGCAAUUUACAGAGACUGGGCCUUCCUACGGAAGAAAAAUGAUGACCAGAUAUCUUGCAGCCAAAGGGGUCAAAGCUUCCGAGGGCAGAGUGGGGAAAGUCCUACGGACCAUUCAUCAGCCUUACCAUACAGCAAGGCAGCAGGGUUCCAGAAACCUUAACCCGGUGCCUUACACGGCUGAGUACAUGGGUCACAAAAUCCACAUUGACCAAAAUGACAAGUUGGUGAUGUUUGGAGUGACCCAUAUCAUGGCUAUUGAUGGGUACAGUAAGAAGAUUGUUGGGCACUCCACUAUGCCCAUCAAAAACAACAUUAUCAUUUAUGAUGAAGUGUACAGACUAUCACCAGCCGUGUUGUCCUAUGGGAUAUGGGACCAAGUGCGGGUAGACUGUGGUCGGGAGUUAUUCCUGAACCUGUAUAUGCAGCAGAAGCUGGCUGCAUACCGUCACAACAAAGAAAGGCAGCCAUACCUCCAAACUCCAUCUACCAGGAAUCAUGUUAUUGAAAGGAUGUGGUCAGAAGUGAACAAAAGGGUAAAUUUCCCUCUGAAGGCCGCACUAGUCGAGAUGUGUGACCAAGAGGAAAUUUGUAUGGAGGACAGUCUGACCAAAUUCUGCGUGUCCAACCUGACAUGCCACAUGGCCCGAGCUGGCCUCACAAAUGUUGUCAAGGCAUGGAAUGCCCACAGAAUUCCAGGAAAGGGGAUACCAGAUCUCCUCUGUGGACAAGGAUGCCCAGCUAAAAUUCCAGAAGGUCUCCUUCCUGCUGGUGAGGUUGCAGCAGACCUCUACCAGCAGGAUGUGGGGACAGCACUGACCAGAGAGGGUGUGUUUGGCACAGACCCUUUUGCCAACGAGGAAGCCCAGCAAAGUGCUGAAAGCGAGUUUGGAUCGCAAUUUGACCCUGUGUCACUGUUACACAGUACACUAAACAACAAUUUCGCCCCAUUUCAGAGUGCACUAAAGUGUCUUAUUGACAUCACGAGAAGAUGUGCUAUGUCUGAGGUGUAA